UCAGGUGAAACUGGACACCCCUUGGCUCCUUGUAAUCUUUCCCCACAUAGCUAUGGGCAUUAUUCCAGACAUGAGUUAGACUUAAAGACAUAAUACAGUAUUUGAAGGGUUGCCAAACCCAUGCAGCUUCAUACCUGCUCAACCUCUCCUCCUGGUGUAAAAACUGCACCCAUAGUGCUCUUCUCUGAUUGCCGUCCAUUUUCAUAUCCUCUCCGAUGUAAAGGCAGGUUUCCCUGGCUGUCCACAGUCCGGUGGUCUUAGAGAACUUCAAAUGAAGAGCGUCUAGUGGAGCGAAAGAACAGAGAGAAGCAAAUAUUCCACACAUAAAAAUAUUUCCACAACACUGAUCAUAGAUCACAAUAGCGGCAAUGACAUGAACUUACUACAGGCAGUCGAGAGUGUCUUGAGUUUGAACUCGGUUUUAUCACUGUGUAACCUCUUCAGCAGGCACUCAUGGCAGACUCCGGCCAGCAGUGCUCGGUAAUCCUGCUGGGACAAGACGAACUGCCCCGCCGGGCUGCCAUCAGUGAAGGUGCUGUGGUUCAGACAGCUGAAGCAGAGGGGGUUCUUCUCCUGAGGCGGGUUCGCCUUUUCACAAGCACUGGCACUGGGUUCCUGUUUGAUAUGGAUGUCCUCUACCAUCUCAAAUGAGCCAUGCUCUGAAUCAGUCUCAGUUUCUGCUUUGGGAUCGACAUUAGAGCUCUUCACAUGCUUGUGUUUGGAAGAGGCUUCCUGUCCAGAUGUGUGGUUCUUAUCCAUGUGAUCAGGAGCUGAAUUGCUUUUUUCCGAGACAUUUGUGUUCAGGAAGGAGAAACUCCCGUCAGAAUCUUGUGACUUGCUUCUUUGGCCGGUUCCUGCUUUUGACUGGCUAAUUGGCUCACGUUUCCCAGAUGAGGAGAAGUUGAGGUCAGCUGAAAUUUUCUCCCAUGAUGAUUGGGAACCAAAACUGUCACCGAGGGAACUGGAGGAACUACGAAGAGUUAGCUGGGAUAAGGACACCAAUUCUCCAGUGCUCUUCAUCUCUAUUUCAGCUCCGAUCACUUCAAACCCACCAGAAUCAGUACUGGCACUGGACGAGGAAGUGGGGGGCUUUGAAGAAUUUGGAGGAGCCUGUGAACUGACCCCAGAGUCACGACCCGGAGAGUUUGGCAUCGUGUUUUCAUCAGCAGGUUGAGGCACGCUGUCUGAUUCAGAAUCAUCAGGCUCAGUAUCUACGUAGAUCUGAUUGCAGACAUUGGCUCCUUGCCUCACAGCAGCGUUUGCUAUAACUCCACCGCUGUUGGGCCAAGGAGAGCCUGAACUGGGCGGGGAGAUACUCUGACAUGAUAAACCGAGCUCAUCUUUGUUUUCAACAUUGGGAUGCAGGUUAUGAGGUAAAUGUCCACUGGAUGAACUGCGAUCUGGGAGCUUUUCUUCUGGUGGUGUUUUGACUUGGCCAGUCUCUGUGUUAUGUUCUGCGUUGGGAGCAGUUGUCUUCAGCGCUGCAAUGCACAGCUGUGACCCAUGUGCCUCAUCUUCGGCCCCUCCACAGUUUGCGUCAUAGGUCUCGAUCACCGAUGCAUGAUACCGCUCAAAUCUUUGUAUCAUUUCUGAGAAACCUUCCGUAGUGAACUUUACUGAGAUGUCUUCGAUGUUUCUGUAGCUGUCAGGGAUGAACGACCCCUUGUCUGAAUUCUCAAAUGGCUCCACUCGCAGCAGACUUUUGACUUGGGCCACCUGGUGCAUGAUCUCAGCGGAAAGGGAGGUUUUCUCUUCUGUGGUGGGUUGGCAGUAUUGGUAGAAUUUUUCUAUUGCUACCUGGCAAGCUUGAGAUGCCUGUGCAACAACAUUGGGAGGAGUCCCGAGCCAUUUGCGAGUGACGGUGAGGGAAUAUGCAGCCUUGAGGAAGGUGUGAAGCUCCUGCUGGCUGGUGACCACGUCACGCUCUGCUUUGGUGAGCAGCCCGAUCGCAAACGCUUCUUCAGCCUGCAGGAGGAAUGAGUGCUUCUGGGAGUCAGGGCACUCCACAGAGAAACUGUAGGACAGCAGGCAGGUCCCCUGAGUCACCUGAAGAAAGACGUCAAGGGAAGAAAUGAGGGAAGGACCACAGUUUAGCACCUCAAAACAACACAUUAAUACCUUUAAAGAAAACUCAACCCAGACUAUGAGCCUGGUGUCAAAUUACAAACCAUUAGGGACUGAAAAAUAAGAUGGAAGCUUAAAGUACAGUUUUGAACAGAAGAUGAAUCUAAAAUUCUGUUUCUGUUCUCUUCAUACUUGGAUGAAAUUCAACAACAUAAAAAUACUGUGGGAACCGAAAGUCUAUUUCUGUGUUCGAUUAGAGAGGAGGAUUUAUGUGCCUCCCAUAAGAAGUCUGAGCAGACUUUGAUCAGUAGGCGGGAUGAAUAACUUCUCCGUUUGGCUUGUCUUACCAUAACACCUCCAGCUACAGGCUGUUGGUUCUGGUUGAUCCAUUGAUGCAACAGCUGUGAUCCAACAUUUGGUGCAUACCGGGGAAUUCCAAACAAGGUUUCCUAACAGCUUUAUUCAAGUGUAGAGCAGUGGUUCUGAAAACGAAGUCUUUUGUCUAAAUUUCUGAUGAAUGACUGUUUAAAAGCAUCACUAGCUUGCAAUAUGAGUGUACACAUGAGUGUAUAUUCCACUUGCAUUCACAACAAACGCCACAGGGAAAUGUCUCCAUCUGGCUGUCACACCAAAAAAAAAAAAAAAAAAAAAAAAAGGCUUCCAUAGCAAC